rnacentral:lncRNA from 10 species
ACCUUGUACUGGCAUUGAAUCUCGCUGAACUCCCAUGCAUUGUGGGCUCACCAGAAUUCUGUGCUCAGGGGGCAUCAUCAACACCAUAUGCUAAUGGAGCCACAAAAAACUCAGACACACGUAUCGUCUGUAUCUCCUCUACUCACGCGCAUGCUCCGUUGUUCCAUCAGACUUCACUUACAAAGCACGGGCUCAAACAUUAAAUUAUUAAGAAUUUUAAGAUGAAGACAGCAGAGUAUUAAACCCAAGUGAGGCCAUUCUGAUCACAGGGUCCUGUGUGACUGCUCGGGUCGUGUGCCCAC